ACUCGAGUGGCGAACGGGUGAGUAACACGUGGGUGAUCUGCCCUGCACUUCGGGAUAAGCUUGGGAAACUGGGUCUAAUACCGGAUAGGAGCCAUCUUUAGUGUGGUGGUUGGAAAGUUUUUCGGUGUAGGAUGAGCUCGCGGCCUAUCAGCUUGUUGGUGGGGUAAUGGCCUACCAAGGCGGCGACGGGUAGCCGGCCUGAGAGGGUGUACGGCCACAUGGGACUGAGAUACGGCCCAG
rnacentral:rRNA from 1 species